GGAGAGAUGGCCGAGCGGUCGAAGGCACCGGUCUUGAAAACCGGCAACCCCAAAAGGUUCAGGAGUUCGAAUCUCCUUCUCUCCGCCA
rnacentral:tRNA from 1 species